rnacentral:rRNA from 1 species
GAUUAACGCUAGCGGCAGGCCUAACACAUGCAAGUCGAACGGGAUUUCGGGUAGCAAUAUCUGGAUGAGAGUGGCGCACGGGUGCGUAACGCGUAUGCAAUCUACCGCUGACUGGGGGAUAGCCCUCCGAAAGGAGGAUUAACACCGCAUAACACUAUGAAGGGGCAUCUCUUUGUAGUCAAAACUCCGGUGGUCAGCGAUGAGCAUGCGUCCGAUUAGCUAGUUGGCGAGGUAACGGCUCACCAAGGCAACGAUCGGUAGGGGGUCUGAGAGGAUGAUCCCCCACACUGGUACUGAGACACGGACCAGACUCCUACGGGAGGCAGCAGUAAGGAAUAUUGGACAAUGGGCGCAAGCCUGAUCCAGCCAUGCCGCGUGAAGGAUGAAGGCCCUAUGGGUUGUAAACUUCUUUUAGCAGGGAAAAAACCCCUCGAUGCGUCGGGGGCUGAUGGUACCUGCAGAAUAAGGAUCGGCUAACUCCGUGCCAGCCGCCGCCGUAAGAC